CGGUUGGCUGGCUGAUUAAACUAACAUUGUCUGAAGACACUGGAAGCAGCCUCGUCUGUGCUUCCUGGAGUCACAUGAUAGAUGUCAGCUCACCUGCUGCUCAUCUGCCAUUAAGCCACCUACACUCUCUGCAGUACAAAAGCCCGGCUCAGUCUUCAAUUCCGUAACUGAGUUGAACAAAUGCAAAGCCAAAACAUCUAUCAGUGUAGGCCUUUUUUAAAAUGAACACUAGCUUUAAUUUAAAUAAAUCCAGGCUGCAGAGCUGAGGUGCAGGAUUGUGCCCUUUCCCUUUUAUCUGUCUGUAUAGAAUCUGAGGUGCAUGUAUUGCAGCAUGAAGGUGUGGUGAUGGCACCUUCAGAAACACGCUCACAGAAUCUACAUGUGAUCGAUUCACGUAUCGCCUCCCAGCAGCCGCAGACUCCCGUAUAGAGAGAGGUCAAGUAUACAACCAGUGCUGCUCUCUGCAGAGCUUGUUCCAUUAACCCGUGGCAGAGUGUUGGCAGUUAAGGAGACAAUAGAGCCUGCAGCCCGGCUCCCGGGAAACUCAAUACCACCAGGGAAAGCAGGGACACACAAAGCCUUGCAUCGAUCCAAUAGGAAGCCAAAGACUAAGCUUUACUCUCACCUGGACCCGUCACAGUGACAGGUCAGCAGCUGAAGAGUCUCCUGUGUUCUGUGAACACCAGACAGAGAAAGGAGGUGAUGAAGGUGGAGCUCAGAGGACACUGAAUCAUUAUCCUCUGAGCUC